AGUGAACGCUGGCGGUAGGCCUAACACAUGCAAGUCGAACGGCAGCACAGUAAGAGCUUGCUCUUACGGGUGGCGAGUGGCGGACGGGUGAGGAAUACAUCGGAAUCUACUUUUUCGUGGGGGAUAACGUAGGGAAACUUACGCUAAUACCGCAUACGACCUACGGGUGAAAGCAGGGGAUCUUCGGACCUUGCGCGAUUGAAUGAGCCGAUGUCGGAUUAGAUAGUUGGCGGGGUAAAGGCCCUCCAAGGCGACGAUCCGUAGCUGGUCUGAGAGGAUGAUCAGCCACACUGGAACUGAGACACGGUCCAGACUCCUACGGGAGGCAGCAGUGGGGAAUAUUGGACAAUGGGCGCAAGCCUGAUCCAGCCAUACCGCGUGGGUGAAGAAGGCCUUCGGGUUGUAAAGCCCUUUUGUUGGGAAAGAAAAGCAGCAGGUUAAUACCCCGCUGUUCUGACGGUACCCAAAGAAUAAGCACCGGCUAACUUCGUG
rnacentral:rRNA from 1 species